rnacentral:rRNA from 1 species
AGAGCGAACGCUGGCGGCAUGCUUAACACAUGCAAGUCGCACGGGCAUUUCGGUGUCAGUGGCGGACGGGUGAGUAACGCGUAGGUAUCUAUCCUUGGGUGGGGGAUAACGGUUGGAAACGACUGCUAAUACCGCAUGAUAACUGAGGUUUAAAGGCGCAAGUCGCCUGGGGAGGAGCCUGCGUACGAUUAGCUUGUUGGUGGGGUAAAGGCCUACCAAGGCGACGAUCGUUAGCUGGUCUGAGAGGAUGAUCAGCCACAUUGGGACUGAGACACGGCCCAAACUCCUACGGGAGGCAGCAGUGGGGAAUAUUGGACAAUGGGCGCAAGCCUGAUCCAGCCAUGCCGCGUGGAUGAUGAAGGCCUUAGGGUUGUAAAGUCCUUUAACGGGGAAGAUAAUGACGGUACCGUAGAAUAAGCCCGGCUAACUUCGUGCCAGCAGCCGC